CCCUCUAUAGCCCAGUUGGUAGGGCAUUACACUCACAACAUGAGAGCGAGAGUUCAAUCCCGGUAAGAACAGUUUGUGUUUUUCACCGGAGCGGUCCCGGUUCGAUUCCGGGUGGUGAAU